GCAGAGGUGUCUUUAGACACCACCAUUGGUCUCAAAUUCGUUCUC
rfam:Picea glauca, whole genome shotgun sequence.